AACUUUUUAGGGUUCCGUAGCCAAAUGGCAAAAAACGGAACCCUUAUAGAUUCGUCAUGUCUGUCUGUCUGUCCGUCCGUAUGUCACAGCCACUUUUUUCCGAAACUAUAAGAGCUAUACUGUUGAAACUUCGUAAGUAGAUGUAUUCCGUGAACCGAAUUAAGAUUUUCACACAAAAUUAGAAAAAAAAACAAUAAAUUUUGGGGGUUCCCCAUACUUAGAACUGAAACUAAACAUUUUUUUUUCAUCAAACCCCUACGUGUGGAUUAUCUAUGGAUAGGUCUUCAAAAAUUAUAUUUAGGUUUCUAAUAUCAUUUUUUUCUAAACUGAAUAGUUUGCGCGAGAGACACUUCCAAAGUGGUAAAAUGUGUCCCCCCCCCUGUAACUUCUAAAAUAAGAAAAUGAUAAAACUAAAUUACCAUGCAAACUUCCACCGAAAAUUGGUUUGAACGAGAUCUAGUACGUAGUUUUUUUUAAUACGUCAUAAAUUAAUUGACUCAAUUUUUUUUUUAUCAAACCCAUACGUAUGAGGUAUCUAUGGAUAGGUUUUCAAAAAUGAUAUUGAGGUCUCUAUUAUCAUUUUUUUCUAAACUGAAUAGUUUGCGCGAGAGACACUGUGGUAAAAUGUGUUCCCCCCCCCUGUAACUUCUAAAAUAAGACAAUGAUAAAACUAAAAAAAAUAUAUGAUGUACAUUAUCAUGCAAACUUCCACCGAAAAUUGGUUUGAACGAGAUCUAGUAAGUAGUUUUUUUUUAAUACGUCAUAAAUCGUAAA